rnacentral:misc_RNA from 1 species
GAUGAAGAACGCAGCGAAAUGCGAUAAGUAAUGUGAAUUGCAGAAUUCAGUGAAUCAUCGAAUCUUUGAACGCACAUUGCGCCCGCCAGUAUUCUGGCGGGCAUGCCUGUCUGAGCGUCAUUUCAACCCUCAUGCCCCUAGGGCGUGGUGUUGGGGAUCGGCCAAAGCCCGCGAGGGACGGCCGGCCCCUAAAUCUAGUGGCGGACCCGUCGUGGCCUCCUCUGCGAAGUAGUGAUAUUCCGCAUCGGAGAGCGAUGAGCCCCUGCCGUUAAACCCCCAACUUUCCAAGGUUGACCUCAGAUCAGGUAGGAAUCCCCGCUGAACUUAAGCAUAUCAAUAAGCGGAGGA